AGCAGCCGCGGUAAUUCCAGCUCCAAUAGCGUAUAUUAAAGUUGUUGCAGUUAAAAAGCUCGUAGUUGAAUUUCGGGAUCAGAUUGUCGGUCGUGCCUCGGUACGCACUGGCAUUAUUGGUUCCUACCUUCUGAAGAACCGCGAUGUCAUUAAUUUGGUGUCGCGGGGAAUCAGGACUGUUACUUUGAAAAAAUUAGAGUGUUUAAAGCAGGCUUACGCUUGAAUACAUUAGCAUGGAAUAAUGAAAUAGGACGUUUGAUUCUAUUUUGUUGGUUUCUAGGAUCGACGUAAUGAUUAAUAGGGAUAGUUGGGGGCAUUAGUAUUCAAUUGUCAGAGGUGAAAUUCUUGGAUUUAUUGAAGACUAACUACUGCGAAAGCAUUUGCCAAGGAUGUUUUCAUUAAUCAAGAACGAAAGUUAGGGGAUCGAAGACGAUCAGAUACCGUCGUAGUCUUAACCAUAAACUAUGCCGACUAGGGAUCGGAUGAUGUUAAUUUUAUAAUGACUCAUUCGGCGCCUUACG
rnacentral:rRNA from 1 species